GAUGAACGCUGGCGGCGUGCCUAAUACAUGCAAGUCGAGCGAACAGAUGAGGAGCUUGCUCCUCUGACGUUAGCGGCGGACGGGUGAGUAACACGUGGAUAACCUACCUAUAAGACUGGGAUAACUUCGGGAAACCGGAGCUAAUACCGGAUAAUAUAUUGAACCGCAUGGUUCAAUAGUGAAAGACGGUUUUGCUGUCACUUAUAGAUGGAUCCGCGCCGCAUUAGCUAGUUGGUAAGGUAACGGCUUACCAAGGCGACGAUGCGUAGCCGACCUGAGUGGGUGAUCGGCCACACUGGAACUGAGACACGGUCCAGACUCCUACGGGAGGCAGCAGUAGGGAAUCUUCCGCAAUGGGCGAAAGCCUGACGGAGCAACGCCGCGUGAGUGAUGAAGGUCUUCGGAUCGUAAAACUCUGUUAUUAGGGAAGAACAAAUGUGUAAGUAACUAUGCACGUCUUGACGGUACCUAAUCAGAAAGCCACGGCUAACUACGUG
rnacentral:rRNA from 1 species